rnacentral:lncRNA from 1 species
UUACAAUCUCGUCCAUUGACCAUACUAAUAUAGGACUAAAGAGAAAAAGAAAAACGUCUUCAUCUUGUUCCAGCAGUCAGCCCUGGAUUUUGAGAACCCAUGGCCCGAAACCUCCGAACAAACCACCGACAUAACCCUCUGCAAUUCCAAGGAUGACCGCUGCCGCCACACCAAUCUCACCGCCCACCGGCGCACACCCGAUCUCAUCGCCCAGCAUCGCACACCUCCGCUGCGGCCUGGGGCGGCCUCAAUUGUGAGAAGAUCAUCUAAUCCUCCAUUCAUUGGAAGAAGAUCUAGUCGAUUCGGAGGAAGAAAUCGAGAGAAAUAAGUGUUCAUAUAACCUGAAUUGGGGAAGGGAGAAAUUAAAUGAAUAUUUUUGACCUAAUUUUAGGUCCAAUUUCAGUCAAUUAAAAUGAGCUAGGAUUAAAUGUGUUCAUAAUAUAAACUUUAGAAUGUAAUGUGUCCAUUGUCGAAAAAUCUCGCUUGGGGUUGUGGGCGGCGGAUCUGAAGACAAUAUGGUGGUGGUGGUGAGCUUGGUAGUUGUGCAAGAGGUCGGAGCUGGUUCCUGGUGGUGAGCGGCGGACGACUGCAACAUGAUAAAAAUGGUUGAUGAAAGUUGUGAGUUGGGUGAGUAGGAUGGGCUGGUGUGCGUGGAAUGGGUAGCUGCUGGGAUUGGGAACAAGAUAAAGGCACCUUUUUUUUUAAUUAUUCGAUUUGAC